rnacentral:antisense_RNA from 1 species
GGAGCGCCUCUGACUGACUUCCCCCAUGUGUCCGUGUGGCCACACCGUGCUACUUUCAGAGGCAGUGGGCUUUUCGCUAAGCGAUAAAAAGAAGUAAAACCUUGCCUUUAGCGCAGCUCUCCAUCACUGGGCAGAUUGCUCUCCCUCCCCACUCUCCCAGGCCCAAAUUGGAUCUCAGCGCCUGGGAGCUCCAACUGCAGCAAGUGCAAAAUCCUGUCUUCGGUUUUGGAAUUUUCAUCCGCACAGACUAUAUCAGCCACGGAUAGGAUACGUGAGAAUACUAGCAUGUCAAAGCUGGGAAUCAUCCUUAGGCAUCACCUAGCCAGUCCUGCCUCUCAUUUUAAGGUGAUCACAGGAUCUGGUUUGCCACUGAAAGGAAUCUUGAUGCUGACCACUUCACCUCGGAGAGCAUGAACUGCUCCCAUGCCUUCAAGAGUUUUAGAGAAUAGACACCUUGAUGGCUCCUCUGGCAGUUCUUGAUGACCAUGGAUGAGCUAAUGGCUGUGGUCUCAAUGGUGGCUUCUUGAG